rnacentral:rRNA from 1 species
CGGCUGACGACAGGCCAGCAUCCGCGGUAAUACUGAGGGCCCGAGCGUAUUUCGAAUUUAUUUGGCGUAAAGCGAGCGCAGGCGGUUUGAUAAGUCUGAAGUAAAAGGCUGUGGCUUAACCAUAGUAUGCUUUGGAAACUGUCAAACUUGAGUGCAGAAGGGGAGAGUGGAAUUCCAUGUGUAGCGGUGAAAUGCGUAGAUAUAUGGAGGAACACCGGUGGCGAAAGCGGCUCUCUGGUCUGUAACUGACGCUGAGGCUCGAAAGCGUGGGGAGCAAACAGGAUUAGAUACCCGUGUAGUC